ACAGACUUCAGACGUCUCUGUGUGUCCCGUCCUGUCCGGUUCUGUCUCUGGUUGCCUGGUUAUAGACGCUGCUGCACCCGCACGUUUAAAAAUGUCUACACCUGAAACUCCACCACGUCUAAAGAAGCAAAAACGUUUGCAAAUGUACAGACUGGAGUGGGAAGAGUGGAACCCCUGGCAGUGGAUACAAGGCAAACUGUGUUUUCUGUUGCUCAUGGACUGGCUGAAGUAAGGCAGCAUCAGGAGACAAACAUGGAGGAAAUAUGAGAACAGAGAGAACCCAACCAGCAGCUCACAGUUUAUCAUCAUCUAAUCAUCUCCUGAAGUCCAUAUGGUCCCUCUCUAUCUCCCCACACAUCCACCAACCACUGGAACACAUCUCCAAAGUUCUGCUGGACCAGCUCAGCUUCCCCUCAGAAGAAGUGCUGCCACCUGCCAGAUGAAGGAGCCUUUUGAGAGGCAGCUGGCAUCGUGAUUGGACUGUACUUUGUUCUGUUCCAAUCCAGCUUCAGCUCCAGAGACGGCAGGCGGGACGAGUCAACGGAGGCCUGGUGGACGAAGGCAUGAAGCUGAGUACAAUCCAGAAAACAACAGAGGAGGAGUGCAGGGCCAGAACAACCAGAGUAUCAUCGUAUGUCUCUUAGAAAACAUCAUAGUAUAGCCUUUGGUAUGAAAAAACGCCAUCAUAUACAUCGUAUAUUGUACAAAUAACAAGUCAAAGGAAAGAGACAUACAUUGUAGAAUUGUAG
ensembl:lncRNA